UGCAGUUGANACUGGCGUCCUUGAGUGCGGUUGAGGUGUGCGGAAUUCGUGGUGUAGCGGUGAAAUGCUUAGAUAUCACGAAGAACUCCGAUUGCGAAGGCAGCACACUAAGCCGUAACUGACGUUCAUGCUCGAAAGUGUGGGUAUCAAACAGGAUUAGAUACCCUGGUAGUCCACACGGUAAACGAUGGAUACUCGCUGUUGGCGAUAUACGGUCAGCGGCUUAGCGAAAGCGUUAAGUAUCCCACCUGGGGAGUACGCCGGCAACGGUGAAACUCAAAGGAAUUGACGGGGGCCCGCACAAGCGGAGGAACAUGUGGUUUAAUUCGAUGAUACGCGAGGAACCUUACCCGGGCUUAAAUUGCAAAGGAAUUGCGUGGAAACAUGCAAGUCUUCGGACCUUUGUGAAGGUGCUGCAUGGUUGUCGUCAGCUCGUGCCGUGAGGUGUCGGCUUAAGUGCCAUAACGAGCGCAACCCUCGCCGCCAGUUACUAACAGGUAAUGCUGAGGACUCUGGCGGGACUGCCAUCGUAAGAUGUGAGGAAGGUGGGGAUGACGUCAAAUCAGCACGGCCCUUACGUCCGGGGCUACACACGUGUUACAAUGGGCGGUACAGAAGGCAGCUACCUGGCGACAGGAUGCCAAUCCCGAAAGCCGCUCUCAGUUCGGACUGGAGUCUGCAACCCGACUCCACGAAGCUGGAUUCGCUAGUAAUCGCGCAUCAGCCACGGCGCGGUGAAUACNNNNNNNGGCCUUGUACACACCGCCCGUCAAGCCAUGAANNNNNNNNNNNCCUGAAGUGCGUAGCCGCAAGGAGCGCCCUAGGGUAAAACCGGUAAUUGGGACUGAGUCGUAACAAGGUAACCA
rnacentral:rRNA from 1 species